rnacentral:rRNA from 1 species
GGUGAACGCUAGUAGUAUGCUUAACACAUGCGAGUCGAACGAAGAUUAAUUCUUCGUGGCGUACGGGUGAGUAACACACAGGAAUCUGCCUCUUAGUUCAGGAUAAAAUUCUGAAUAACCAAAGAAAACUUUUCGCUAAAAGAUGAGCCUGUGUAGGAUUAGGUAGUUGGUAUUUGGGUAAAAGCCUACCAAGCCUAUGAUCCUUAGCUGUUCUGAGAGGUUGUACAGCCACACUGGGACUGAGACAAGGCCCAGGCUUCAUUUGGAGCCAGCAGUGAGGAAUUUUGGACAAUGAGCGAAAGCUUGAUCCAGCAAUACUACAUGAGUGAUGAAGGCUUUCAAGUUGUAAAACUCUUUGGUCGAGGAGGAUAA